rnacentral:rRNA from 1 species
UCGAACGGAGCACCCUUGAUUGAGGUUUCGGCCAAAUGAUAGGAAUGCUUAGUGGCGGACUGGUGAGUAACGCGUGAGGAACCUGCCUUUCAGAGGGGGACAACAGUUGGAAACGACUGCUAAUACCGCAUGACGCAUUUUGAUCGCAUGGUCGAAAUGCCAAAGAUUUAUCGCUGAAAGAUGGCCUCGCGUCUGAUUAGAUAGUUGGCGGGGUAACGGCCCACCAAGUCGACGAUCAGUAGCCGGACUGAGAGGUUGACCGGCCACAUUGGGACUGAGAUACGGCCCAGACUCCUACGGGAGGCAGCAGUGGGGAAUAUUGGGCAAUGGGCGCAAGCCUGACCCAGCAACGCCGCGUGAAGGAAGAAGGCUUUCGGGUUGUAAACUUCUUUUAAGUGGGAAGAGUAGAAGACGGUACCACUUGAAUAAGCCACGGCUAACUACGUGCCAGCAGCCGCGGUAAUACGUAGGUGGCAAGCGUUGUCCGGAUUUACUGGGUGUAAAGGGCGUGCAGCCGGGCAUGCAAGUCAGAUGUGAAAUCUCAGGGCUUAACCCUGAAACUGCAUUUGAAACUGUAUGUCUUGAGUGCCGGAGAGGUAAUCGGAAUUCCUUGUGUAGCGGUGAAAUGCGUAGAUAUAAGGAAGAACACCAGUGGCGAAGGCGGAUUACUGGACGGUAACUGACGGUGAGGCGCGAAA